UUUCCGUAGGUGAACCUGCGGAAGGAUCAUUAUUGUAUAACCGAGGUGCGAGGGCUGUCGCUGACCCGAAAGGUCGUGCACGCCCGAGUGCCCUCACACACAUCCAUCUCACCUCUAUGUGCACCACCGCGCGGGUCCCCCUUUGGCUUGUUCGGAGGGGGGCUUACGUUUUCACACAAACUUUGUAUGCAGUGUAGAAUGUAUUUUUUGUUUUUGCGAUCACGCAAUCAAUACAACUUUCAACAACGGAUCUCUUGGCUCUC
rnacentral:misc_RNA from 1 species